ACUUAAAACAUAUUGUCUUCACUUUUUUUUGUGUUAUGUCCUGCUAUUGUGAUAGAAUAACUAGUUAAUCAAAAGAAGUAAUUUCGAUCAAGGCGAGUGAAGGUGGAAUAGUGAGUGCAGUGUACUUAUAAUAUUGAUGGCGGUUCUUGGAGAAUCAAUAUCGCUAGAUAUUUUCCGAGACACCCCCACGACAGCACGCUCGUUUCCUGUCCUGUGUGACUCGUGGGUUCUUAUCGAUCUCCUCCAACGUAGCCUGUGCCGACAUGGAAAAGAGCUUCAAUGAAGGUUUUCGACACAGAACGUUUUGGGGGAGAGAUAAGGCUGAUCGCGGGGUGUGGGGGGUAUUCGAAAUACUACUCCUCUGUUAAUUGAUCUCUACACCUUGCACAGACAGGGAGGGAAGUUUAACCUGGCUCUAAGACACGCUCAAUAGAUCUAGGUCUAUCAGGAACAACUGUGCUCCCAAGUGUGCUAUCUGAUUAUCAAAUGUGCGAAAGUUUGGAUUACUUGAUCGCAGUGUCUAUGACCAAAGUAGCAUUCUGAACUCUUAAUACGAGACUAGUGGCGAGUGCAGGAUUACUUUGACCUUAUAUUGGCCUGCAUUUUAUAUGUAUAGGGAUAUAAAGACUCUUCCAAUGUACUCAGUAUUAGGAAAUCAAGUUGGAUAGAGAAGAAACUAUCCUGCAUGGGCAUCAAAAGAGAGUGUUGCCACGAUUACUUGAUGGGGAGAGGUGAGUAGUACCUUUAAUUCUAUUCUUUUAUCUCUU
rnacentral:sRNA from 1 species